GAUGAACGCUGGCGGCGUGCCUAAUACAUGCAAGUCGAGCGAACAGACGCGGAGCUUGCUCCUCUGACGUUAGCGGCGGACGGGUGAGUAACACGUGGAUAACCUACCUAUUAGACUGGGAUAACUUCGGGAAACCGGAGCUAAUACCGGAUAAUAUAUUGAACCGCAUGGUUCAAUAGUUAUAGACGGUUUUGCUGUCACUUAUAGAUGGAUCCGCGCCGCAUUAGCUAGUUGGUAAGGUAACGGCUUACCAAGGCACCGAUGCGUAGCCGACCUGCGAGGGUGAUCGGCCACACUGGCACUGAGACACGGUCCAGACUCCUACGGGAGGCAGCAGUAGGGAAUCUUCCGCAAUGGGCGAAAGCCUGACGGAGCAACGCCGCGUGAGUGAUGAAGGUCUUCGGAUCGUAAAACUCUGUUAUUAGGGAAGAACAAAUGUGUAAGUAACUAUGCACGUCUUGACGGUACCUAAUCAGAAAGCCACGGCUAACUACGUG
rnacentral:rRNA from 1 species